GGGGUUGUGGCUCAGCGGUAGAGCACUCGCCUAGCACAUUGCGAGGUGCUGGGUUCAAUCCUCAGCACCA
rnacentral:tRNA from 1 species